AAGUGAAGUAGAGGACAGUGGCGGACGGGUGAGUAACGCGUGGGUAACCUGCCUCAUACAGGGGGACAACAGUUAGAAAUGACUGCUAAUACCGCAUGACACAUAGAGAUCGCAUGGUUUUUAUGUCAAAGAUUUAUCGCUGAAAGAUGGCCUCGCGUCUGAUUAGCUAGUUGGUGAGGUAACGGCCCACCAAGGCGACGAUCAGUAGCCGACCUGAGAGGGUGAUCGGCCACAUUGGAACUGAGAGACGGUCCAGACUCC
rnacentral:rRNA from 1 species